rnacentral:hammerhead_ribozyme from 1 species
AUCCAACUGAUGGGUCCUAGACAGGACGAAACAUGCGUCAAACUGGAU